GGCGGCGCGCUUAACACAUGCAAGUCGAGCGAGAACCAGGCCUUCGGGCCUGGGGAAAGCGGCGAACGGGUGAGUAACACGUGGGUAACCCACCCUUGGUACCGGGAUAGCCCGAGGAAACUCGGAUUAAUACCGGAUGGCCCAACAGCUUCUCGGAGCGGUUGGAAAAGGUAGCUUCGGCCUCCGACCAAGGACGGGCCCGCGGUGGAUUAGCUUGUUGGUGAGGUAACGGCUCACCAAGGCUUCGAUCCAUAGCUGGUCUGAGAGGACGAUCAGCCACACUGGGACUGAGACACGGCCCAGACUCCUACGGGAGGCAGCAGUGGGGAAUCUUGCGCAAUGGGCGAAAGCCUGACGCAGCGACGCCGCGUGGGGGAAGAAGGCUUUCGGGUUGUAAACCCCUUUCAGGAAGGACGAAGCCACUCGGGUUAAUAGCCCAGAGGGUGACGGUACUUCCAGAAGAAGCCCCGGCUAACUACGUGCCA
rnacentral:rRNA from 1 species